rnacentral:rRNA from 1 species
AGGACGAACGCUGGCGGCGUGCCUAACACAUGCAAGUGGAGCGACGAACCAGGCUUCGGCCUGGGGCAGAGCCGCGAACGGGUGAGUAACACGUGGGUAACCUGCCCUGAUGAUUGGGACAACCCGAGGAAACUCGGGCUAAUACCAAAUGUGUUCUUGGUCGUGAUGACCAAGAAGAAAGGAAGCCUCGGCCUCCGCAUCGGGAUGGGCCCGCGGCCCAUUAGCUAGUUGGUGGGGUAAUGGCCUACCAAGGCGACGAUGGGUAGCUGGUCUGAGAGGACGAUCGGCCACACUGGGACUGAGACACGGCCCAGACUCCUACGGGAGGCAGCAGUAGGGAAUCUUGCGCAAUGCGCGAAAGCGUGACGCAGCAACGCCGCGUGGGGGAAGAAGGCUCUCGGGUUGUAAACCCCUUUCAGUUGGGACGAAGCUUCGUCGGUUAAUAGCCGGCUGGAGUGACGGUACCUUCACAAGAAGCACCGGCUAACUACGUGCCAGCAGCCGCGGU